UCGGGCAUUGUGGGACACUGAAAUGUAUCCAAAAGAUUCAAGAAAAUGUGUACUUCUACAACAUUGCUAGGAGAGUGAGAAAGCAAAUAUCUACAUGUGACAGGUGUCAGAGAGUAAAAGUUAGCAAUCAAACUUGCAGAGGAUAUAUGCAAAACAUCUUGCCAAAGGAACAACUACAACUUGUAGCAGUUGACCUUUAUGGAUCAUUGCCUAAGGCUAAAGGAGGAUUUUGUUACAUAUUUGUCAUGGUGGAUCUUUUUUCAUAAUUCAUUAAACUAUAUCCAUUGAAGAAAGCAACAAGUAAGAACAUCAUUUUGAAAAUUAGAAGAGACUAUUUCACAAAGGUGGGAAAACCAAAGAGCAUGCUCUCUGACAAUGGAGCACAAUUUACUUCUAAAAUUUGGAAAACAUUUGUGGAGGAUGAGAACAUAAACCAUAUUCUGAUCUCUGCGUAUCACCCGUCCAGCAAUCCGGCUGAACGUUACAUGAGAGAAAUAGGGAGAUUAUUUAGAACUUAUUGCAACAAAAAUCAUGUGAGUUGGAUAGAGUACGUAGACAGCUUUGAAGAUAUACUGAACAGCUUACAACAUUCGUCUACUGGGUUCUGCCCAUAUGAAAUACUGUAUCAUAAGAAACCGCCAAAUCUGAUCAACGAAUUAAUUGAAUUCCCAGCAUGUAAAGCUAUGAGUCCACAGGAAAGAGAAGAAAUAGUCAAGAAAGUAAUGGAACACAGGGGAAACUAAGAAAAAACAAACAUGACAAGAAGUUGAAACCUACAAAUUUUAAAAUUGAUGAUCUGGUCCUGGUGAAAACACAUGAAAAAUCCAAAGCGAUAAGCAAUGAAUUAAAGAAAUUCUUUGACAUCUAUAUUGGCCCAUUCAAAAUUCAGUCUAUGCCACACCCAAAUGCAUAUAGAUUAGUGUACCCAAAGUCAGGAAGACUAUUUGGUUUACGUAACAUAACUGAACUGAAACCUUAUAAACAAGUGUCAAAUACCAAGAAAAAAUAAGAUAAUGUAAAAGCCCUCAGGAGGAUACAUCCUGUAUCAAGUGCGUGCCGAGCACUAGGUCUCCGAGCUAUGUAGCAUUCUAUUUUCUUCUUUUCGUUUUCGGAUGCUACAUCUUUUACUUAUCUAUAAACCUAUAACGAAGUUAUCUCUCACUGAAAAUACUAGCCAUUCUUUUAGUAUAAGUUUUUUUGUAUGUCAUAUGAUUAUUGAGUGACAUUGUUUGAAAAUAAAUAAAUAAAUUUAACUGUGUAUAAAAUUUGAAUCCUCCCUUGACUAAUGACUAAUAAUUCUUUAAGCAUUUCAGGCAAUAGUUAUUACUAUAAUUCCUGAUUAAUAUGUGGUGUAAAACUUUUCCAGAUCCAUAUGUGUGUGUACUCUAUGUUAUGUAAUAUUGUAAAUAAAUUACUGUUAGCAUUUUCAUUACAGAAUAGAAUCCAAGGGGAUAUAAGAUAAUGGAGGUCAUUGUGGUUAUGGUCUGUAGAGUAUGUAUUUGAUUUGUGGAUGGUUCUUUGAAGAUUAUAGGCUUGGUCAUGAUUUUAUUAGUUUGCCAAUGAGAUAUACAAAUGGACAAUGUUAAGGAUGUACACGUGUUACUAAAUGGACAAGUUGUACUGUGAAAAAUGAGUAAGUUUGUCAUUACAAGGUGGUGUGCUAAUGAACAAUCAGUGAGUUUGUGUUUGAUAUGAUAAAGAGCUAAAGGAUAUCUGGGACAUUUAAUAUGCUGUAUAGUGUAUUAUGCUGAAAUAUUAAUCAAAAAGAAAGGAUACAUAAAUAAUUCAUUUUUGUUCAUGAACUUUAAGUUGUAUAUAGCUAAAUCCUUACAGUUUAGAGAUGCUUAAUUUUGUGUGAUUUUGUCUAUAAAUAUACUAAUAGUGUAGGAUAGUAUGUUAAUGAUUUUGAUACAUUUAUACCUGAUGUGACCUUAAUUGUAACCUGCACGAGUACCUUGCGAAAUGAGUUCAUCCCUGUUCCUACCUAGAGAACUGUAUCAAAGAUCCUUACCUGACCUGAAAAAAAAAAAAAAAAAAUUAAGAAACUGAAAAACUAAUAGUGGACUGUGCUAUUGCAGUGUAGAGACUGCCAGAAGCAGAGGGGCUGCAGACACAAGAUGGACAGCGCAUUGGGACGGAUGAUUGUGAGCUGCCAAUUCAUUAAGAUAUGCAACAUGCACCAGUGACUGGAGUAACAGCUAAGAAAAAAGAAAUUCUAUUUUGGAGGGUAUUUAGCAGCCAUUCAUACAAGUUACACUUGUAAGAGUGGCUGGGGGGGUGUAUAACAAUACAGCCCGACCCGUGGGUUAACUGAAAUGACUGAUACCAACUGUUUUUUUUUUUUUGAUAUGUAACUGUGUAGUUAUUGGACAAUUCAGUGCCCUAGGGAUUUGUAUGUGUACCUAUGUGUAUUUAUAUAUUAGUCUGUCGCAUUUACUAGUAAUAUUCUGUAUUCGUUGUGAAAAGACUUUUAUUGUCGUCAUUGUUGUCAUUAACGGAAUUACAUAAUAAAUGCCAAAUUAAAUGAUUCAUCAGCAGGGUGAGCUAAGAAAUGUAAAGUAACGGAUAAUAAGAUACUGUAGAAGUAUUGGUAUAAGUGGUCAGAGCCACUAAUUACGAUCAUUUGGAACAAGAAAUGUAUUAGUAUAGAAAAAGCUUCAUUAUCUUGAGAAACAGCUUUUUAAGUGAUUACCAAGCAAUGUAUUCGUACUUGUUAUUCAUUUUAUAUCCUAUUUUGAAAUUAAUGUACUUUGUAAACACAUUUUGAUUAACUCUCCAAUUGUUUGCAUCACACAAUGUUCAGAUUUUUCGUAUUUCAGGGCGUAUUUGUAACUUCCUUGUAUACAGUCUGAUAGAAAGCAGAAUUUGUGAUGUCAUUAAAUGUUAGUAUCUGAAACCGAACUGUAAUUAAUUAAAUAACUCAAAAUUCACAAAAGACAUUAUUGUAAUUAGAACCAUAUCGAUUUUUAAUAUUUAAACCUAGUGAUGACACUACAAAAAUUACGUCAAUUAAUAUUGUUAAUUUUUCCUUAUUCGGAUGUAAUGUCUGUUCGCAAACAUUUUGUACAUUUUAAUUGUAACUUUGAAAUUCUUCAGAAUUAAUAAUGCAAUAUUUUGUGAGUGAUUGUUAAAAUUCUAUAUAAGCAGAGAUGAUGCGAGGUCAGAGUCAGUCAGUUGUUUGUGAUGAUUUCGGCUGGAGAGUCUGUACAAGUGACGCCUGUAAAUAAAUAAUGUGAAGUGUGAAGAAUUCUCCGAUUUCUUCAUCUAAAAAUGAACCCCCAAAAGUUAAGUUUAUAAAUAUAAAGCUGCUCGACGAACAAGUAGCUUUAUAACCUUUUACACUUCAGGAAACAGACAGAGGCAAUGAGGUGACGACAGACAGACAGAGGCAACGAGGUGACGACAGACAGACAGAGGCAACGAGGUGACGACAGACAGACAGAGGCAACGAGGUGACGACAGACAGACAGAGGCAACGAGGUGACGACAGACAGACAGAGGCAACGAGGUGACGACAGACAGACAGAGGCAACGAGGCGACGACAGACAGACAGAGGCAACGAGGCGACGACAGACAGA